GUCUCUACGAAAAAUAAUAUACCGUCUAGCCUGCCCAGUGAAUAACUUAAAUGGCCGCGGUAUCCUGACCGUGCAAAGGUAGCAUAAUAAUUAGUUUUUUAAUUGAAAGCUUGCAUGAAUGGCUGGACAAAGAAAAAUCUGUUUCUACUUUUUUUUUAAAAUUUUACUUUUAGGUGAAAAGGCCUAAAUAAAUUUAAUAGACGAUAAGACCCUAUAAAUCUUUAUAUGAUCUUUUCUUAUGAGUAAUUAUUUGAGUUUAUUUUUUAUAAAAAAAAGAUAUAUUUUGUUGGGGCGACAAGAAUACUAAAACUGUUCCAAUUUUCAAACAAAAAUUUUUGUCUAUAGUAGAUCCUUCACUGAAGAUUAAAAAUUUAAGUUACUUUAGGGAUAACAGCGUAAUUUUUUUUGAGAGUUCAUAUCGACAAAAAAGUUUGCGACCUCGAUGUUGAAUUAAAGUUUCUUUAUAAUGCAGCAGUUAUAAAAGUAAGUCUGUUCGACUUUUAAAACUUU
rnacentral:rRNA from 1 species